UAAGGAUCUUCGUGGGCUGGUCUCUUUCUUUUCCUGCGGAGAUUCGGAGCUGAUUGGAACUAUGGAUAUAAACUCUGUAGUGAUAUUCUGGAAGUUGUGCAGAAAAACUAAGUCCUUCAUGAAAACAGCAGCUCUAGAAGAGUAUAUGAUGUACAAUUGUGGAUGUUCCUGAAUAUUCGAGACACAAUGUGACUCUCUAGCAAAUAUCCAGCGAAUAAUGAAUAACUGACAACACAGUUGAGAGCUACAUCUGCUUGCAACUCUGGUACUAAUACAGACAUCUCUGAAGGCCGACAGCAUUAGAAGUGAGGAGGGGGGAAUUUUUGUAUCCCCUGACAAGUAUGGAUGGUAUCACUGGAAGAAAGUAUGACACCUGAAGAUACUCAGAUACCAAGUAAAGACUCCACUCUAAUGAAAUCAAAUCUGUCUUGUAUCAUGGAAACUGCAUGUGGAAUCCAUAAGAAAUGAUGCAGAUUUACUAGAUGAAUCAGUUUAACAUCUGGUGGAAGUAAUGCCUAGAAACAGAAGAUUAAGAAAACAAAAUUCAAAUCCUUGCAUACAUUUCUGCCAUUCUCUAGGAAAAGCAUGCAAUUUUGUUAAAAUAGAGCGUAGAUAACUAUUUUACUCUAAUCAAACAUGCACAUAAACUUUAACUUUUAGUAACUUGUGGCUUUGUAAAGAAACUAUUUAAACAGUUGUUACCAGUCUGCUGUACCUUAAUGUGUACCUUUUUUAUCCUGUCUGCUUUGACUCUGACUCUUCCAUUUGGGGAAAUACUGUUAGCAUUCCUGAAACUUGCAUUAUUUGCCUCGCUUAAAGCAAAGAACAGAACAGACCUAAUCUUCCUCUGCACAUCAUUCAUAUUAGGUUAGGCACUAAAUUUAGUGGGCAAGAGUAAGUUAAUGAUUGGAAUAUACAUUUUUCAAGUGGAAUAAUAUAGCAGAUCACCUAGGUGAGAAGUUUAAUUGCAAAAAUCCUAUAACAGGACACUGCUUAGAUUCUUAGGAGGUGAAUGGAGGCCCUUCUGACAAAGUUUCUCAACUUUUCACAGUGAAAAGGAUAUUAAAGGCAAAAACUGUUCAGGUAUCCUUCAUAAGAAAAUAUAGAAUUCCAGAUAUGUAAAAGCUUAACCUGAAGUAUAAUUACUGAUCUAAUCACCUGGUCCAGCUUUUAAUAGGUAACAAGGCUCAGGGCCUAAAUUUCUAUGUAAUUUAUAAAGCAUAACAGUAUUCAGCAGCAGCCAGAUUCUGUCACCCUUCUGCACAUUGACUAGUGCCAUGCAUCAUGAAUGUGUGCUUUUUUUUUUUAACAGUGCCUGCCCCAGAAGGGCAUAUUGGCACUUGUUUCUAGAGGUGGCUUGAUAGAAACCUGCCUGGGAUGCCUGGUUCUUAAAGGAACCAUGACUGCAUUUCAGCCCCUGGGUGGCACAUUUUUUGGCUCAACUUCUUUGAGCCUGGAGUACUGGCACUUUUUCACUUACAAAUAUUCAGUACUUUUAAGUAUUGCUUUUUGUGUAAACAUUCCAGAGGAAGGUUCUUCUCAACCUGAGAAGA